rnacentral:rRNA from 1 species
UACGUAGGGUCCGAGCGUUGUCCGGAAUUAUUGGGCGUAAAGGGCUCGUAGGCGGUUCGUCACGUCGGGAGUGAAAACUCGGAGCUUAACUCCGAGCCUGCUUCCGAUACGGGCAGACUAGAGGUAGGCAGGGGAGAGCGGAACUCCUGGUGUAGCGGUGGAAUGCGCAGAUAUCAGGAAGAACACCGGUGGCGAAGGCGGCUCUCUGGGCCUUACCUGACGCUAAAGCGCGACAGCAUGGGGAGCGAACGGG